rnacentral:rRNA from 1 species
UGCUGGAGGUAUCAGAAGUGCGAAUGCUGACAUAAGUAACGAUAAAGCGGGUGAAAAGCCCGCUCGCCGGAAGACCAAGGGUUCCUGUCCAACGUUAAUCGGGGCAGGGUGAGUCGACCCCUAAGGCGAGGCCGAAAGGCGUAGUCGAUGGGAAACAGGUUAAUAUUCCUGUACUUGGUGUUACUGCGAAGGGGGGACGGAGAAGGCUAUGUUGGCCGGGCGACGGUUGUCCCGGUUUAAGCGUGUAGGCUGGUUUUCCAGGCAAAUCCGGAAAACCAAGGCUGAGGCGUGAUGACGAGGCACUACGGUGCUGAAGCGACAAAUGCCCUGCUUCCAGGAAAAGCCUCUAAGCAUCAGGUAACAUCAAAUCGUACCCCAAACCGACACAGGUGGUCAGGUAGAGAAUACCAAGGCGCUUGAGAGAACUCGGGUGAAGGAACUAGGCAAAAUGGUGCCGUAACUUCGGGAGAAGGCACGCUGAUAUGUAGGUGAAGCGACUUGCUCGUGGAGCUGAAAUCAGUCGAAGAUACCAGCUGGCUGCAACUGUUUAUUAAAAACACAGCACUGUGCAAACACGAAAGUGGACGUAUACGGUGUGACGCCUGCCCGGUGCCGGAAGGUUAAUUGAUGGGGUUAGCGGUAACGCGAAGCUCUUGAUCGAAGCCCCGGUAAACGGCGGCCGUAACUAUAACGGUCCUAAGGUAGCGAAAUUCCUUGUCGGGUAAGUUCCGACCUGCACGAAUGGCGUAAUGAUGGCCAGGCUGUCUCCACCCGAGACUCAGUGAAAUUGAACUCGCUGUGAAGAUGCAGUGUACCCGCGGCAAGACGGAAAGACCCCGUGAACCUUUACUAUAGCUUGACACUGAACAUUGAGCCUUGAUGUGUAGGAUAGGUGGGAGGCUUUGAAGUGUGGACGCCAGUCUGCAUGGAGCCGACCUUGAAAUACCACCCUUUAAUGUUUGAUGUUCUAACGUGGGCCCCUAAUCGGGGUUGCGGACAGUGUCUGGUGGGUAGUUUGACUGGGGCGGUCUCCUCCUAAAGAGUAACGGAGGAGCACGAAGGUUGGCUAAUCCUGGUCGGACAUCAGGAGGUUAGUGCAAUGGCAUAAGCCAGCUUGACUGCGAGCGUGACGGCGCGAGCAGGUGCGAAAGCAGGUCAUAGUGAUCCGGUGGUUCUGAAUGGAAGGGCCAUCGCUCAACGGAUAAAAGGUACUCCGGGGAUAACAGGCUGAUACCGCCCAAGAGUUCAUAUCGACGGCGGUGUUUGGCACCUCGAUGUCGGCUCAUCACAUCCUGGGGCUGAAGUAGGUCCCAAGGGUAUGGCUGUUCGCCAUUUAAAGUGGUACGCGAGCUGGGUUUAGAACGUCGUGAGACAGUUCGGUCCCUAUCUGCCGUGGGCGCUGGAGAACUGAGGGGGGCUGCUCCUAGUACGAGAGGACCGGAGUGGACGCAUCACUGGUGUUCGGGUUGUCAUGCCAAUGGCACUGCCCGGUAGCUAAAUGCGGAAGAGAUAAGUGCUGAAAGCAUCUAAGCACGAAACUUGCCCCGAGAUGAGUUCUCCCUGAGACUUAGAGUCUCCUGAAGGAACGUUGAAGACGACGACGUUGAUAGGCCGGGUGUGUAAGCGCAGCGAUGCGUUGAGCUAACCGGUACUAAUGAACCGUGAGGCUUAACCUU